rnacentral:tRNA from 1 species
UUACAUUUAAACUGACAAAUUGUGGAUUUGUAGAUUACAUCUUUUUUAUUAUUGUAUCAGUAAA